AACCCCAUUUUAGUACCACUACUUCUUCUCUCAGAACAAGUGGCUAUGCAAAUGGGGAAGAGCAACAACUGCUAUCGUCUGAAGGGGAAUGUGUCUGUCGCCUUCCCCUAUAUGAAAUAGCAGAACAUUUCAGG